AUCAAGAACCCUAAGUUCAGUCCUGUUUAUCCUAUUAUCAAUUUUCACCUUUCAAUCCAUCAACCGAUAUAUAAAAUCAAUGCCAAGUGGGUACCAACACAUAGCAUGCAUUAAGAACACAAGAAAUUGAAUCAAAGUAAAUAAUCCCCAAUUUUAUUGAAUAAAAAUCAGAUCCAAUCCAUAGUUAUUGAAAGUGCUACAUCCCUAACUCCAGAAUAAAAAAAACUACUCACUCAUGGUCAACUUAACAACCAAGUUCAUGAAAUAAAGAAAAUAAGAGAUAAGAAGAAGUAGAAUUGAAAAGCCCAGAAGAGAGUUGCAGCUUUGAUCUUGUGGAACUUCGGCUGGAAUCUCUCUCUUGUGCAGAAAAGUCUUCUUCUCAGGCUUGGUUCUCUAGCGUGUAUUUCUUGAUUUCGGCCCCCCCCCCUCUUGCUAGUUUGGAGACUAAAACUAUUUAUUCUCUUCAGGGGAUCCUAGUUUUAGAGUCUCCAUAGCUUAGGAAACUCUUUCCUCCCGAAAAAAUAGAGGUUAAAACGUGUCUUUUAAGUGUAGAUCUUGAAAUCGACAUGGAGCGUGUCAUUUCACAAGGGGUAGGCCAUGUACCUUUCGGCAACUUUUGCUCUCUUUGCUGCUGACACAACCCGGGACGUGUCAACUGGUCUUGCGGUUGGGAUGAGUAACACGGCCUCUAACAUGGCCAUGUCAAGGGCCGUGUCAGUCUGCUUCUUCUUGAAAUUGACUUUCAUGCCUUGGUUUGUGCAAUAGCCUGUCCGAAUGCCUCCAAAUCUUUGAACUGACGCUUAACUCAUUCACAAUCAAAACUUCCUAGGCCACUUUAUUCGCCUAAUCAAAAUAAAAAUUAAGUAAUUAAACUUAAAUAAAACAAGAAAGAAUAAAGGAAUUAAAAACAUAUAAAAACUAACAAAGCAUGAACAAAACACAUAUAAAUGACACCCUAAACUAUAUAAAAUAUGAUUACAUCAAAUACCCCCAAACUCAAACAUUUGCUUGUCCCCAAGCAAAUUAAAACCAUAAAAACAAUUGGAGGACCUGUCUUUGGAAUUAUGAGAGCUGCAAAUCCAAACUUUCAAAAUCACCUUAAGAAAACCAACAAACCAACCACCCUUCAAAGUAACAAGAAACCAAACACUCACCCAAGCAUCACUACCCAACAAAAAUCAGCUCACCAACCCAAACAUGCAUUCACCACCCAAUUACACAAGCCCAUUCUUACCCAAAUAAUACCCAUGUACAAUCAACAGUCACCAUGUCUCUAAUAUAAAUUGAUAGAAGGGAUAAUAAGUAUGGUGAUAUAUCCCAAUCCCAUAGGCAGACCUCCUAACCCUAUCUCCACUAAUGUAGCAUACACUGUCAAAAGAUUAAAAGGUCUUUCUCAUAAGGUUGUAAUGGGGCUAUCAAAGAAAAAAAAAUUAACAAAAAUAUGAGAGGAAUUAGUCUAUAAAAGAUCAAGAUGCACCAGAAAUUUGUCUCUUUUUCCAUUCUCUUUUUUUUCUUUUUCUUUUUCUUUUUUUUUUUUUCUAUUGGUAGUAGUAAGUAAAUUUACAAAUUUUGACUUCAAAUUGCUAGCAUACUUCUUGGAGCUUAUGGAAGGACNNNNNNNNNNNNNNNNNNNNUUUCUUCUCUCUCUCUCUCUCUCUCUCUCUCUCUCUCUCUCUCUUUCUUCUUUUUUUUUUGAAUCAUCUCUCACUCUUAUACACAAUCCCUUCUCAUAUAGGGUAAGGUACUGUGUUUGGUCUCAGGGCUAGGUGAUAUGUGCGGGUAAGCAAAGAAAAUAAGGUAAAAAUGUGGGCUCAAACUGGCUACAAGGGAUAAAUUUCAACAUGGGUGGCUAAGGCUAUAAUGAGCUAAAAACAAUUAAUGCUUAAAUUAUCUCUUCAUCCAGUGCAUGCUAGGAUUUCGCCUCGAUAGCUUUAAAAGACCUGUUCUAGGACCGGUGAGACGUCAAAUAACCACUUUCUUGUACACAUGCACUCUUCAAGCAAUCAUGAAGUCAGUGCAACUAGCUAGCAACUGCACAUCUAGACCAACAAGACAAUCUAAGUCAAGUAGUAGUGGCAAGAACAAGUGCUCAACCUCUUGCACCUAUCCAGAUAAUCAACCUGUCAGUUCUCUAAAGGCAAUCUUAAUCAUUCUUCAAAGCAACACUUAUGCAUCCAAAGAAAGGGUGAAAUUGCAUUAAUGAUUUUUUUUUUGAAGAAAAGGAAAAGGACGAAGAACACAAAAUGCAAAUACAAAUGAAUCCUAAAAUCAAAAAUGCAGCUCAAUACCCCCUAACUCAAUCUUGACAUUGUCCUCAAUGUCAAUCUCAACAUACUCAAGUCACAAGCAUAGGAUACAUGCCAAACAUCACCAACAUUCAUCACAUACUAGAUAGAGAACCUGUAAAGGAUCAUCUAGGCAAAUGUCAUUCAUAUUUUCCAAAACAAAAUCUGAACACAAAAAGCAUAUGGAAAAUACGAUAUCAAUAUAAGUCAUAGUAUGCUAGAUACAGACAUAAUAUCCAAAACAAAGCUUUAUGGGUAUAAUCAAAAUAUAAAGUCUAACAUAACCAACAAGACAUAAGACUGCACUAGAAAUCCUGAGAUGGUGAAGAUGGUGGUCUAUCAGCAAGCAAGGUGUCGAGCUUGGCAUGCGCAUCCUGGAGACUCUUCUUAGUGAAAUCCUCCAAGGUCUGGAAUCUCGUCUCCAUGCUCUCCAGGUACGCUAUGACCUGAUCCAAAGUGGCUCCAGACUGAGAUGGUGGAACUGGUGGUGUCGCUGUGGGCAAAGAUGAUUCGGUGUCCAUCUGCUGCUGCUGUGCCUCACCGCCCUGCGCCUGGUCAGCUUGUGCUGCUUGGCCGUCUCUAGGAAUGAUAUUCCCAUGAGCAUCCACGAGAAAGUACUCCCCAUUCACUUUCUUGCAGAUGUUCAUGGACACAAGUGUAUCUGAAUCAAUCCUAGCUGCGCCUAGAAUCGGGCGGAUCCUGACAAGAACAGGGACAAAUCCAAAAGAUAGAGCUAUAGCUGUGAUCAAUCCUUCUACAACAAUCUGGCCCGUAGGCUGUCCUGACAUCCUCUGCAAGUGGCUAGCAAGCCAAAACCCAGUACUAGCUCUCUUACCAGAAACCAUGCACCACAAAAAGAAUAACUCAGUCUGAUUAACUACUCCUGUGCUUUCUCCCCUGCCACAGAUGGUGUUAGCUAUCACCCUAUGGAUGUACCUAAGGGCAGGGCUAGUCAAAUGGGUUGAUUUCGACUUGCUCGGAUGAUACUCACCACCUGUAGGUGCUAUCUGCCUCCAGAAUUGCAUCUCACUAUACUCAUAAACAUCUCUGGGGAUCAUCUGAUAUCCUGUACUGUCAAACCCAAAUACCCCAUUUAAUUGCUCAAUGCUCAUUUCUCUUUCUUCCCCCAUCAUUCUAAAAGUAAUGCUGCUCCUUUCCUGCCGAGACCACUGCCUCCAUACUGACCUAAUACUACCUAGGAACUGUAGUGUUAGGUCUCUAUAGGCAGGACGGCUAAUGGUGACAAAUCUAGUCCAUCCUAUGUUCUCUAACAAAGUAGUAAUCUCAGCUCUGAAUCCCAACUGAUCUAAGGUUUCCUCAUCAAUGUACUUAGUGCAAACUAUAGGUCUCUUAGAGAGUGCGGUACACUUUACCCGGUGUUCCUUAUUCCGAUAAGGCCAAGCAAGCUCCGGUGGUGGCGUUUGUGGGCGUGGCUCAUGUGGUGGAGCCUGGGAGCCCCUUGGGUUGGAAGCCUGCUGCCUCUCCUGAGUGCAUGGGCGCUGUGGAGAAGGGGAAGCACCCUCUUUGCCACGGGAGGAAGACCCUCUAUGAAUGACUUUCUUCUUGGGUCCCAUUGUAGUGUGAGAGAGAGAGAGAGAGCUAGGGUUUGGGUUUGAGUGUUUGGGGUGAGGGGAAAGGUGAGAAAAUGAGUGGGAAAGUGAUUUGGGGAUGAAAUUUGUUGAGAAAUUGGAAUGGAUGUUGUUGGGAGGUUGAGUCGCACAGGUAGGCGACCGAAAUGGCGGGGAGAAUUUGAGGAAUGUGUUUUUCGAAUGCUGGAACUGAAGGGGCAAUAUUUAAAUAUCUAGAGUGACACGGCCUGUGUCAAUUGACAUGGGGUGGGCUGUGCAUUUUGCAUCAAUUUUUUUCAUGAAAAUGUUUUCAUUAUUUCCAGAUUUACACGGCCUGUGUCAAAUGACACGGCCCGUGCUGUGAGCUGCAAAAUAUGAAGUUUUUGUGUAUUUUAGGCUUGCAACAAGUUUAGCUCGGUUCUGUGGUCCUAAAAUCACUUAUGAGACAAAAUUAAGCACAAAAUCAACACCGGACUCAUUUCAAAUGCAAAAUUUAAAUCAAUCCACUUAUCCUAAUGUAAAUCUCCAAUUCUCAACCAAUUCACUCCCAACAAAUUUAAAAGCAAAACAAAGCAACAUCCAAAUCACUCAAAAAUCAAGACCAAUGCUCAUAAUUCAACAAUAAAACUAAGAAGAGGUAAAGAGUCAAAGGGCUUCCCUUUUUGAAGCAUGCCCUCCUCCCAUUGUCUAGUUGCCUUGUCAUUUCCUCUCCCAAAGUCUACAAAUCAAAACAACCUGCAAGAAAUUGACAAAUAUCAAAAUUGAAUUUUCGGGGCAUAAAAUUAGAAAAAUAAAACAAGUAAACAAGAAAAAUAAACUUGGGUUGCCUCCCAAGAAGUGCUUGUUUAUAGUCAUUAGCUCGACUUUUCAGGAUCUACUGUGAAUAUGGCGGGUCGGUGAAGGAGUAGUUAACUCCUUUCUUGAUGAGCUCUCCAAUGAUAUAUGACUUCAAAUGCUGCCCAUUCAUUUUGAAUGCACCUGAGAUCUCACUCCACACCUCAACCGCACCAUGAGGAAAGGCCAUUAUUACUUUGAAGGGUUCCGACCAUCUUGACCUUAAUUUGCCAGGAAAUAGCUUCAAUCUUGAAUUGAAUAGCAGCACCAUGUCACCUUCUUUAAACUCUCUUCCUGAUAUGCUUGUCAUGCCAAUGCUUUAUUCUUUCUUUAUAUAUGCGGGCAUUCUCAUAUGCAUCCAGUCUGAUCUCCUCAAGCUCAUCAAGUUGCAACAAUCUCUUCUCACCAGCAGCCUUCAUGUCGAAGUUCAAUGUCCUUAUUGCCCAAUAUGCCUUAUGCUCCAAUUCUAUAGGCAAAUGGCAUGAUUUUUCAUAAACCAAUCUGAAUGGUGUAUUACCUAUGGGAGUUUUGUAGGCGGUGCGAUACGCCCAUAGGGUGUCAUCAAGCUUCAAGAACCAGUCCUUUCUUGAGCUGUUCACCGUCUUCUCCAAAAUACUCUUCAGCUUCGUAUUAGAUAUUUCCACCUGGCCAUUAGUUUGGGGAUGGUAAGGGGUUGCAAUUUUAUGCUUCACCCCAUACCUUUGCAAGAGUCUCUCAAAUUGGUGGUUAUAGAAGUGAGUACCGCCAUCACUUAUGAUAGCUCUAGGCGUGCCAAACCUUGUGAAAAUGAAUUUCUUGAGGAAUUUCACCACUACUCUAGCAAAAAAAUCUACCCACUUUGACACAUAACCCACUCCAACCAGGAUAUACUUGCUUCCGUAGGAGGAUGGAAACAGACCCAUAAAGUCAAUGCCCCACACAUCAAAUAAUUAAACCCCAAGAAUACCAUGUAAGGGCAUCUCAUCUCUUCUAGAAAUAUUGUCAGUCCUUUGGUAUCUAUCACAAGCUAGAACAAAAUUCCUCACGUCUUUAAAUGAGUGGCCAGAAAAAAUCUGAUUGAAGCACUUUUUCUGUAGUCUUUGAGGUGCUUAGAUGUCCACCGUAAGCUGAAGAGUGACAGUGAGUCAAGACACUCCACUUCCUCCUCUGGUAGGCAUCUCCUUACCAGCCCGUCAUUGCACCUUUUAAACAGCAGUGGCUCUUCCCGACUGUAAUCUUUGACAUCAAGUAAGAAUCGCUUCUUUUGCUGAGAGGUCAAAUUUGGGGGGAGAAUUCCACAGGCUAGAUAAUCGACAUAAUCAGCAUACCAUGGUAGUGCAGUGCUGGCAAUAGACAGGAGCUGCUUAUUAGGGAAGAAAUCAUCAAUUGGUACUUCACCAUCCAAGUCAUCCCUAUGUUCCUGUCUAAGCCUAGAGAGGUGAUCAGCUACCAUAUUUUCUGUUCCCUUCUUAUCCCGGAUCUCCAAAUCAAACUCUUGCAGGAGAAGCACCCAUCUAAUAAGUCUUGGCUUGGCAUCUUUCUUAUUCAACAGAUAUCUUAUAGCAGCAUGGUCUGUGAACACUAUGACUUUUGAACCCACCAAAUAUGAUCUGAACCGGUCCACAGCAAACACCACAGCCAAAAACUCCUCAGUAGUUGCAUAAUUAACUUGGACGUCAUCCAAGGUUCUGCUGGCAUAAUAAAUUGCAUAAACUUUCUUCUCCUUCCUUUGGCCUAGUACAACUUCCACAGCAAAGUCACUCGCAUCACACAUGAUCUCAAAUGGCAAUGUCCAGUCCGGUGGCUGCAUUAUGGGUGCCGAUAUGAGCACCUCCUUGAUCCUGCAAAAAGCAUCAAGACAAUCCUUACUAAAUUUAAAGGGCAUAUCUUUAUUAAGAAGGUUAGUUAAAGGUUUAGCAAUUUUAGAAAAAUUCUUAAUAAACCACCUGUAGAACCCAGCAUAUCCUAAAAAGCUACGAACUCCCUUUACUGAGGUCGGUGGUGGCAUCUUCUUGAUUACUUCAACUUUUGCUUUAUCCAUCUCGAUGCCUCUUUCAAACACCAUAUGGCCCAGUACAAUCCCCUCACGAACCAUGAAAUGGCAUUUCUCCCAAUUCAAAACAAGGUUGGAUUCCUCACAUCUUUGCAACACUUUAGAAAGGUUAGUCAAACAAUCAUCAAAAGUAGUUCCAUAAACAGAGAAAUCAUCCAUAAAAAUUUUCAUAAUAUUUUCAAUAAAAUCAGAAAAAAUAGCCAUCAUGCAAUGCUGAAAAGUAGCAGGGGCAUUACAAAAACCAGAAGGCAUCCUUCUAUAUGCAAAGUACCAUAGGGGCAUGUGAAAGUGGUCAUUUCUUGAUCACUGGGGUGAAUGGGGAUAUGAAAGAACCCCGAAUACCCAUCUAAAUAGCAAAAGUAUGAAUGUUUAGCUAGCCUUUCAAGCAUCUGGUCAAUAAAAAGCAAUGGAAAAUGAUCCUUUCAGUUGGCACUAUUCAAUUUCCUAUAGUCAAUGCAUAUUCUCCACCUAGUGAUUGCUCUAGUUGGAAUUAAUUCAUUAUUUUCAUUCUUAACAACAGCCAUACCACCGUUUUUAAGAACUACAUGCACUGGACUCACCCAACUACUAUCAAAGAUAGGAUAUAUUACUCCUGCAUCUAGUAGUUUGAAAACUUCCUUCUUAACAACUUUCAUGUUAGGGUUGAGUCUCCUUUGAUGUUCUAUGGUGGGUUUAAAGUCAUCUUCUAUUAAUAUCCUAUGCAUGCAAAUAGAAGGACUAAUUCCUUUGAUAUCAUCUAUUGUGUACCCUAUAAUCCUCCUAUGCAUUCUAAGUUCUCUCAACGGUUUAUCAACCUCAAUCUCACUCAAGCUAGCACUAAUAAUCACAGGAUAUGUAGAAUUGGGCCCAAGAAAUGCAUACCUUAGCUUUGGUGGAAGGGGUUUGAGUUUCUACCUUUGGAGCUUUUUCCUCAUCAAGUGGUAGUGGUUCAGUAGAUACCUAUUUCAGCUCCUGUAUUUUCAACACUUGUGAAUGUGGGAUAGGUGGACUUGCCUCCAGAAGCUGCGCAUAUGCUAUUCCUUCCGCAUUUUCAUCCUCAAUCGUGGCACUAUGCACCAAGCAGGAUUCAAGAGGAUCUUCAGGAUAUUGGUCUAUGAACUCUUUCACCAGCUCAUCAAUGAUGUCCACUCUCAAGCAAACAUCCACUUCAUUCGGCCUUUUCAUUGCUUGAAACAAGUUAAACUCCACUUCUUCAUCCCCCACUUCAAAGUCAAUCUCUCAUUCUUCACAUCAAUUAUCGCCUCCAUCGUAGCUAAGAAUGGUCUUUCCAAGAUUAUGGGAAUCUGGACAUCCUCCAUUUCUAGAACCACAAAAUCUAUAGGAACAUAAAACUUGCCAACCUUCAGUGGAACAUUUUCCAAUAUACAAUUGGGUACUUAAUGGACCUAUCCGCUAGUUGCAAAGAGAUAGUGGUUGGCUUCAAUUCUUCCAUUUUCAGUUUCUCACAAAUAGAAAGUGGCAUGAGACUAACACUGGCACCAAGAUCACAGAGAGCUUUAUCAAUUGACAUGUUUCCAGUUAAGCAAGGAAUAGAGAAGCUACCUGGAUCCUUUAGCUUAGGAGGAAGCUUGUUUUGCAGAAUUGCACUACAUUCCUCAGUGAGAGCUAUAGUCUCAUAUUCUUCGAUUUUUCUCUUAUUUGAUAGAAUCUCCUUGAGAAAUUUAGCAUAUGAAGGCAUUUGGAAGAGAGCCUCAGUAAAUGGAAUGUUGAUGUUAAGUGUCUCCAGGACUUCCAAAAAUUUUUCGAAUUGCUUGUCCAACUUCGCCUUUUGAAAUCUCUGAGGGAAAGGCAAAGGGAGCAUGUAUGGUUUUGGAAGUUCUUUCUUUGGCUCCUCUUUCUCAACACCCUUUUCUAAAUUUGUUUUCUUCUCGACUGCUGGGGUCUCAUUCUCUGAUCCAACUUUCUCUUCAUCAACCCUUUCACCUCUCUCACUUUUAUUCUCUACUACCCACCCAUUCCUCAAUGUAAUAGCCUGGCAGUGUUCUCUCGGGUUCAGUUUUGGUUGGCUAGGCAAUGCACCUAAAGCUUUACUGGAGGGGGAACUGGCCUGCUGAGCAAUCUGGUUUUCAAGCAUCUUCUUAUGGGUAGCUAUCUGAUCAACCUUUGAAGUAAGUUGCCUGAUCACCUCAUCAUUUUGUUUUUGGUUGGCUAAGAGACUCUCCAUUAAGACCUUCUGGUUAGAUUUUUGCUCUUGAGGUUGGGGUGGAUAUUGGGGAGGUGGGUUAGGAUUCCUAUGUUGAAAGCCAGGUGGUGGUCUAGUGUUCUGCUGAGGGUUAUGGCUCUGAUUUUGCUGGUUGGACCAAGAGGAGUUGGGGUGGUUUCUCCAGCUGGGAUUAUAGGUGUUGGAGCAAGGGUUACCUACAGGCCUGCGAUUAGAAUUGUUGUUGACAUAUGCCAUUUGCUCAACAAAGGGUUCCUGUGCAUAAGCUUCAUAAUCAACCCCUUGAUGAUUUCCUCCAUCCAUAUCACUGAUUGGGUUAUCUGUCCCCACUGCACUCAUACUCAGCUUGUCCAACUUCUUUGUUAAUGCAUCGAACUUAGCAUUAAUCAUGCUCAAUGCAUCAACCUUAAAGACUCCAGUCGGUCUCCUUGCAUUAGUUCUUUCAUUGGACUACUGGUAGUUAUUUGAUGCCAUAUCCUCAAGUAAAGCAAGAGCCUCAUCAACUGUCUUACCCAUGAGAGCACCUCCAACAGCUGCAUGCCUGCAUCUAUAGUGAUACUCACAGACGGAGUCAACCCAUUGUAGAAAUUUUGCGCGAUUAACCAAUCCGGAAGGCCAUGAUGUGGGCAUUGUCUCUGGGGAUCCUUGUAUCUCUCCCAGGCUUCAUAUAAAGACUCAUCAUCCCUUUGGCAAAAGAUAGCAAGAUCAUUGCGAAGCUUGGCAGUCUUUCCUAAAGGGAAGUACUUUGAUAGAAAGGCUUGUGAGAGCUGGUUCCAUGUUGUGAAUGAAUUUGGAGGCAUAGCACUCAGCCAAUCCUUUGCUUUGCCCCUCAGGGAGAAUGAAAAUAGACUCAAGCGAAUAGCAUCAUUUGACACUCCAUUUAUCUUGAACGUGUCACAGAUCUCCAAGAAUCCCAUUAAGUGUGCAUGAGGAUCUUCAGUUGGUAGACCCCCAAACUGGUUCUACUGUACCCAUUGGACCAAUGCUGGUUUCAGUUCAAAAUUGUUUGCAGCUACUGUUGGCCUUGUAACACUUGGUCUGAAUUCCUAAAAAUUGGGCGUUGCAUAGUCCCUGAGCACCCUGUUGUCAGCAUUCACAAUCUGGUUGUCUUGAGCCAUGAUUGCUUGUUGAGCUCCUUGCCUUCUUCUUUCUGCUCUAAUAGCUCUCAAGGUUCUUUCAAUUUCGGGAUCGCAAUCAACUAGCUUUUCCUCACUCUUAGCUCUUCUCAUAAACUAGCUGUAAAUCCUGAAAACAAAACAAAACAAAAUAAACAAAUAAAAUAUGAGAAAUUAAGAAAAUAGAGGUGUCUAAAUUAAUCAAACUAUCAAUCGUUUGAUAUCAAAGCACCGAGUCCCCGGCAAUGGCGCCAAAAAUUUGUUCGCAUCCCGCAAGUGCACGAAUCGUACCAAGUAGUAUGGAAAGAUAUCGUUCCCUCAGGGACCGUGUUGAAUACCAAACUAUGACAAUCACGAUUAUCUAGACGAUCGAAUUUGAGCUAGAAAUUAAAAGUAGAUUAAAUAUUGUUGGAAUUAAAUCUAAACAAGUUAACUAAAUUCAAACACUAAGGACUAAAGGCAUUCCAGAGUUAGAGGUUCAGACAUACAAUUAACUAUGAAUGCAAUCCUAUUUAUUCAAUCAACGGGAAAUUAUUACUUUGAAGGAGAUUAACCCUAAAUAGUCUAAAGCCCUCUCUCAAGGCACCAUAGACGUGUUUUAAUUAAAUUAAGACCUACUCUUAUGGCGUUAAGUCAAUUAAAACCCAUUAAGUUCUUUGGUUAACCUAUUGAUUCCACAUAGAAUUCAAGCCUAUCUCUAGAUCAAGAACCCUAAGUUCAAAAUCCUGUUUAUCCUAUAUCAAUUUUCACCUUUCAGUCCAUCAACUGAUAUAUAAAAUCAAUGCGAAGUGGUUACCAACACAUAGCAUGCAUUAAGAACACAAGAAAUUGAAUCAAAGUAAAUAAUCCCCUAUUUUAUUGAAUAAAAAUCAGAUCCAAUCUAUAGUUAUCGAAAGUGCUAGAUCCCUAACUCCAGAAUAAAAAACACUACUCACUCAUGGUCAACUUAACAACCAAGUUCAUAAAAUAAAGAAAACAAGAGAUAAGAAGAAGUAGAAUUGAAAAGCCC
rnacentral:lncRNA from 1 species